AUAUAAGAAUGUAAGUAAGCCUCCAAAAUUACCAUUGAUGCGCGAUCCGGCAAAGGUACAGACGGAAUAUAACAACUAGGUAUCAUACUUUAUACUGUUAAAGUUCCAGAAGAUGAACACCGUGAGAGUAAAGCUUGAAUUUGUCGCGCCUGGUCACUACCCACCAGUUCCACCAGAGCUGACAUUGACAGUCCCUGAGGAAACCAAUUUGCACCAGAUCCUGAAUCAGGCAGCAAAACAAGAAACAGGCUACAACUUUACUGUAGUAUAUUAUCCGUCCGUUCCCGGUCACAUGAUAACAUCCAUCCGUGGGGUGGAAAAUGACCCUGCUGCUAACAAAUACUGGAUGAUCUACUCGACCCCACCAGGAGGACGGACCCCUACAGGAAUAGAUGAAUUUCAGCCAAUUGAUGGUUCUCUAAUCACUUUUAAGUAUGAGAUACCAGGCCCCUGUGACUAUUAAAAUUCAAGUACCGUCACCAUGGUAACACCCAUUUUUACAAUAAAUUCAAUUAGUUAGAAAUGCACUAUAAGUACCAUUUCUUCCGUUCUGUCAAAAACGUUAAACAUGAUUAAAGUUCUCUUAAAAAUAUA